rnacentral:rRNA from 1 species
UACGUAGGUGGCAAGCGUUGUCCGGAAUUAUUGGGCGUAAAGCGCGCGCAGGCGGUCCUUUAAGUCUGAUGUGAAAGCCCACGGCUCAACCGUGGAGGGUCAUUGGAAACUGGGGGACUUGAGUACAGGAGAGAAGAGUGGAAUUCCACGUGUAGCGGUGAAAUGCGUAGAGAUGUGGAGGAACACCAGUGGCGAAGGCGACUCUUUGGCCUGUAACUGACGCUGAGGCGCGAAAGCUAGGGGAGCAAACGGG